GGGGGUGAAACGGAUUCGACGGGGAUAUACAAGCUCAUCGUUGCAUGCCGAGCCUUCUGUCAGCUCGUAAAAACGGCGGAACUUAAAUAUAAUCGCAGACGAUUAUAACUACGCAUUAGCAGCUUAGUCUGCUGUGCCGCUUUCCCAGCCCGCGCCCGUAAAGCUGGAGCAAAGCGUCGACUCUUCGGGAUAGUCAUCGGGAGUAUCUGCGGCCCCUUGGCGAGAUCAAGCAGGUCGGCUUUCAGCAAUCCUCUGUUCCAAGUGAGAGCUGAAGGCGGGAUUUAACUUGGAACUAAGCAUGUAGAGACGAGAGGGGAGUAUUUUCGGACCCGGGUUCAACUCCCGGCACCUCCACCA
rnacentral:tmRNA from 1 species